GGUAUGUGGCUCAGUGGCAGAGUGCUUGCCUAACAUGCAUGAAGCCCUGGGUUCGAUUCCUCAGUACCA
rnacentral:tRNA from 1 species